UAGCAAUACACGAGUGGCGGACGGGUGAGUAACGCGUGGGAACCUGCCCAAUGGUAGGGAAUAACUGCGGGAAACUGCAGCUAAUACCCUAUGCUCCUACGGGGGAAAGAUUAUCGCCAUGGAGGGGCCCGCGUCGGAUUAGCUAGUUGGCGGGGUAAUGGCCCACCAAGGCUACGAUCCGUAGCUGGUCUGAGAGGAUGAUCAGCCACACUGGGACUGAGAUACGGCCCAGACUCCUACGGGAGGCAGCAGUGGGGAAUAUUGGACAAUGGGGGAAACCCUGAUCCAGCAAUGCCGCGUGAGUGAAGAAGGCCUUAGGGUUGUAAAGCUCUUUCGGCGGGGACGAUGGUGACGGUACCCGCAGAAGAAGCCCCGGCUAACUUCGUGCCAGCAGCCGCGGUAAUACGAAGGGGGCUAGCGUUGUUCGGAAUCACUGGGCGUAAAGGGCGCGUAGGCGGCGCGACAAGUCAGGCGUGAAAGCCCCGGGCUCAACCCGGGAAUUGCGCUUGAUACUGUCGUGCUUGAGGCCGGGAGAGGAUGGCGGAAUUCCCAGUGUAGAGGUGAAAUUCGUAGAUAUUGGGAAGAACACCGGUGGCGAAGGCGGCCAUCUGGACCGGUUCUGACGCUGAGGCGCGAAAGCGUGGGGAGCAAACAGGAUUAGAUACCCUGGUAGUC
rnacentral:rRNA from 1 species